GACGAACGCUGGCGGCGUGCUUAACACAUGCAAGUCGAACGGAAAGGCCCUGCUUUUGUGGGGUGCUCGAGUGGCGAACGGGUGAGUAACACGUGAGUAACCUGCCCUUGACUUUGGGAUAACUUCAGGAAACUGGGGCUAAUACCGGAUAGGAGCUCCUGCUGCAUGGUGGGGGUUGGAAAGUUUCGGCGGUUGGGGAUGGACUGGCGGCUUAUCAGCUUGUUGGUGGGGUAGUGGCUUACCAAGGCUUUGACGGGUAGCCGGCCUGAGAGGGUGACCGGCCACAUUGGGACUGAGGUACGGCCCAGACUGCUACGGGAGGCAGCAGUGGGGAAUAUUGCACAAUGGGCGGAAGCCUGAUGCAGCAACGCCGCGUGCGGGAUGACGGCCUUCGGGUUGUAAACCGCAGUCGCCUGUGACGAAGCGUGAGUGACGGUAAUGGGUAAAGAAGCACCGGCUAACUACGUG
rnacentral:rRNA from 1 species